rnacentral:rRNA from 1 species
CCUACGGGUGGCUGCAGUGGGGAAUAUUGGACAAUGGGGGCAACCCUGAUCCAGCCAUGCCGCGUGAGUGAUGAAGGCCCUAGGGUUGUAAAGCUCUUUUGUGCGGGAAGAUAAUGACGGUACCGCAAGAAUAAGCCCCGGCUAACUUCGUGCCAGCAGCCGCGGUAAUACGAAGGGGGCUAGCGUUGCUCGGAAUCACUGGGCGUAAAGGGUGCGUAGGCGGGUUUUUAAGUCAGGGGUGAAAUCCUGGAGCUCAACUCCAGAACUGCCUUUGAUACGGAAGAUCUUGAGUCCGGGAGAGGUGAGUGGAACUGCGAGGGUAGAGGUGAAAUUCGUAGAUAUUCGCAAGAACACCAGUGGCGAAGGCGGCUCACUGGACCGGUACUGACGCUGAGGCACGAAAGCGUGGGGAGCAAACAGGAUUAGAUACCCCGGUAGUC